rnacentral:rRNA from 1 species
UACGUAGGGUGCGAGCGUUAAUCGGAAUUACUGGGCGUAAAGCGUGCGCAGGCGGUUCGUUGUGUCGGCGGUGAAAGCCCUGGGCUUAACCUGGGAAUGGCCGUUGAAACUGGCGAACUGGAGUGUGGCAGGAGGGGGGUGGAAUUCCGGCGUGUAGCAGUGAAAUGCGUAGAGAUGCGGAGGAACACCGAUGGCGAAGGCAGCCCCCUGGGCUAACACUGACGCUCAGGCACGAAAGCGUGGGGAGCAAACAGG